UGACACCAUUCCCGGACCGCGGAGCCGGUGUGUCACGUGACCCGUUCCCCUUUGUCGCAGCGGCUCAGGCAGAGAAACGCGGCCGAUUUGCCAAAAGUACUUCAAAAGUGAGAUGAUGAUUUGCAGCAAGAAAUUUUGGAAGAGAAUUGGUGCAGCAACACAGCCUUGCAGAACAUCCGUCUGUAAGGGAAUUGGGUAAGGAUCAUAGCUUUCACCUCAUCAUGGAACACACAGAGAACUUCAAACUCUUAUCAGAUUUCACCACACACCCUCAGGCUGGGGACAAAUUACAAUGGACUAUUAAGCUGCCAACCUGCAUAUCUUUGGGAGACGGAGGGAACUGGAGCAUCUGGAGAAACCCCUCCCAGUCACAGGGUGUGGUGAACUACGUAUACCUGUCUGGACACGACCCCCCUGCUGACUGCUCCUAUGGCUCCUCCCACAGACCCCUGUAUAAAGGCAAUUGGAGCCUGAGCCUGGCCUCUCAGUCUCCAGGAUGUAGUAUGGUGGUCAAUUGCUGCUUGUUCUUUC